ACGGAAGGCAGCAGUGGGGGAUAUUGCACAAUGGGGGAAACCCUGAUGCAGCGACGCCGCGUGAGUGAUGAAGUAUUUCGGUAUGUAAAGCUCUAUCAGCAGGGAAGAAAAUGACGGUACCUGACUAAGAAGCACCGGCUAAAUACGUGCCAGCAGCCGCGGUAAUACGUACGGAGCAAGCGUUAUCCGGAUUUACUGGGUGUAAAGGGAGCGUAGACGGCAAAGCAAGUCCGAAGUGAAAUCCCGGGGCUCAACCCCGGAACUGCUUUGGAAACUGUUUAGCUAGAGUGCAGGAGAGGUAAGCGGAAUUCCUAGUGUAGCGGUGAAAUGCGUAGAUAUUAGGAGGAACACCAGUGGCGAAGGCGGCUUACUGGACUGUAACUGACGUUGAGGCUCGAAAGCGUGGGGAGCAAACAGGAUUAGAUACCCUGGUA
rnacentral:rRNA from 1 species